UACAGAGGUCUCAAGCGUUGUUCGGAUUCAUUGGGCGUAAAGAGCGUGUAGGCGGCUUGGUAAGUCCGCUGUGAAAGUCCAGGGCUCAACCCUGGAAAGCCGGUGGAAACUGUCAAGCUUGAGUCCGGAAGAGGCGAGUGGAAUUCCUGGUGUAGCGGUGAAAUGCGCAGAUAUCAGGAGGAACACCAAUGGCGAAGGCAGCUCGCUGGGACGGUACUGACGCUGAGACGCGAAAGCGUGGGGAGCAAACAGG
rnacentral:rRNA from 1 species